rnacentral:lncRNA from 1 species
UUCUCUAUGUUGUAAUGUUUUCUGGUGUCUUAUUUUGAUGCUAUUUGUUGAGUUUUCUUAAAAUGAAAUCUCUCUCUCUCUCUAAAAAACCAUUUGUUCCCUCAUUCCCUUUUGCUUUAAGAUUUUCUUGAUGACUAAAACCCUAGUAUUUCAUAACAAUGGGUUUUAUGAGGUGCAAUAUUAAGAAGGUCAUUAAUUUUGUAUCUAUGAUUUAUUUACUGGAUCAUAAGAUGAAAAUAGUGCAUAUCAAAGUUACAUGAACUGGGGUUGGAGUGUUUUUCAAUAGUGGGAAACUGAUUGAAACAUUCAAUAUUUUUUUUCUUUUUUCUUUUUUAUUUUUUAUUUUAUUGGAG